AGCAGCCGCGGUAAUUCCAGCCCCAAUAGCGUAUAUUAAAGUUGUUGCAGUUAAAAAGCUCGUAGUUGAAUUUCGGGAGCCGCGGGUCGGUUGGGCUUAACUGUCCAUCACUGGCUCCGCGGGUCUCUUACCUUCUGGCGAGGUCAGAUGUCAUUUAUUUGGUGUCUGGCGGAACCAGGACCAUUACCUUGAAAAGAUUAGAGUGUUUAAAGCAGGCUUUAUCGUCUGAAUACAUUAGCAUGGAAUAAUAAAAUAGGACGGCUAAGGGUUCUAUUUUGUUGGUUUCUUAGGACCACCGUAAUGAUUAAUAGGGAUAGUUGGGGGCAUUAGUAUCCAAUUGUCAGAGGUGAAAUUCUUAGGAUUUAUUGAAGACUAAACUACUGCGAAAGCAAUUUGCCAAGGAUGUUUUCAUUAAUCAAGAACGAAAGUUAGGGGAUCGAAGACGGUCAGAUACCGUCGUAGUCUUAACCAUAAACUAUGCCGACUAGGUUUCGGCGAUGUUAAAUUAUUUAUGACUGC
rnacentral:rRNA from 1 species